UGGUGUGUAGCUCGGUUGUAUUUUCUCCGGCAGCCAUAACUUCUCGCGACGGCAUACCUUAGCUUGUGAAUUACUGUCGUGAUUCCCCCUGUGGGACAGAGUUCAUCAUCAUAUCCACCAUCCACGAUCGAGAACGACGGCCACGGCUACGACAACGACAACCAACACUGUAACAAUUUAACAGUUUUUACUAACAAAUUAAUAACAUACGAUGGAUUCACAAACGAUACUGAUCUAUGCUGGUGUGGUGGUUGUUUCUGCGGCUGUUAUUUUGCUGGUAUCAAUUUUUGGUAUUAAAGAAAAAUCUUACGAAGAAGCUAUCGCCGAACAACGUAAAUUUCCUGAUGACUUACUACUAGGUAAAAAAGACAAGGGUAAAGAUAAAAAGCAUAAAAGUAAAACGGGUAAAAAAGUUAAAGAGAAGAAAGAUGAAAAAGAUGAUAAGUCGGAUGAUAAAUCGGAGCAUGUUCAGUUUGAAGAAAAUCCUCAAAUUUUACCAACUGAAAUUAAUGUUCAUGUUCAAGAUGUUAGCAAGGGGAAUAAGAAGAAGAGCAAGCCUGAAAAGGUAAAGCCAAUCCUUGUAAAUAAGGAUGAGUCACCGGUUGUUGUGACUGAGUCAAUAGCUUCGCAGCCUCCCUUGGUAAAUGUCAAUCAUUUUGAUGUCAUUCACCCAAAGGACGACCUUGAAUUAAUUCGGAGUCAAAGUAAGGAAAAUCUCCAGCAAGCGAUUCAGUCAGAAUCGAUGACAGGAAAAUCAUCCCCAAAAGAAACACCGACUAAAUCUAAGAAGAAUGUUGUCAAGGAGCCCGUUAAAAAAAAGGACGAAUCUAAAGACGAAAAACAAGAAUUGACUCCGGCCAUGCAGCAGGCAACUAAAGCUUUAGUGGUGCUUUCAGCAACUGCCCACAUUGCAAAAGAAUCUAAAGAAACUCCACAAAAAGAAAUUCAACAACAGCAACUGCAAAUGCAACCAAAAGAUACAAUUUCAGUUCAGCAGUCUAAUAAAGAGGCUAAUAAAAAAAAUAAAAAGAAAAAUGACAUCCUGGCUCAAAUAGGCGGCGAUAAAGAUGGAAUUCAUGUGUCUUUAUUGAUGCCGUUGGUACAAAAAGCCGAAUUGAGUCGCUCUGAAAUCCAAAUUCUCAUUGAUUUGCUGUUAAACAAGCAAUUGGACAAUCCACAAGAGGUUGCUGAGUGGACUGAGGGCCGUGCUGAUCCGGUAAUAAAAUUAAAGAAACAACUGAGUGAAAAAGAAAAAGCUCUGUCUGAAGAACAUGAAGCCAGCCUGACUUACCAGAAUAAAGUUAAAGAACUGAGGGCUGAAUUAAACUCCGAAAGGUCCAAGUCCUCUGGUACCAUUAAGCAACUUGAAGAGAGCCUCAAUGCCAAAACAACCGAGGCACAAACACUCCACACUCGCAUGCAACACAUACUUGAAACUCACGCCGCGGAAAAACAGGGUUUCGCCCGUCAAAUAGAACAACUACAAGCUAAGGUCAAUGAAGACGCCGCUAUUAUUCAUAAAAUGCAGGAAGAUCAAGGCCAGACACAAGGACAUCUUCAGCAGGAAAUAAUAGCUCAGCGUAAACAGCUAGACAUGCAGUUUGCUCAAAUGCGUGACAAUGAGAAUGCCUUGAAGGCACAGCUGGCCCAGAAACACGUUGAGAUUGAGCAAUUGCAGAAUGUAAACAUGAGUGUUACUCAAGAGCUCCAGGCGACCUGUGAGAGUAGCACAGCUGAGAUUGAAAUUCUUAGACAACAGCUUGGUAUGAUGCAGGAUCAGUGUAUGCACGUGGAAGGACAAUUACAGAAUUUGCGUGAUGCUGAAAUACGUAUUCAAGAUAUGGCACGGCAACUCGAGGAAUCACAUCGCGCCAAUGCUGAUCUUGAUCAUCGGCUGAAAAAUAUUCAUCGUCAUGAGCAAGAGUUGCAGAAGCAGGUUCACUCACUCCAGAAUGAAUUGAAAAUUGUCAAAGCUGAGGCUGGCGACGCUACUGCUUUAAAUGGAGAGUUAAACAAAGUUCAAACGGAAUUGAAUAAACUUAAGUCUGAUUUAUCUGUGUCCCAAAAUGAAGCCAAAACAGAAGCUAUAGAAGUAACUAAUUUGAAAAAUUUAUUGGGUGAUAAAGAGGAGGAAAUUAAAAAACUUCAACUAGAAGCACAAAAAACUGGCGCCGUUGUUAAGAAUUUAGAAUCGGCUUUGAAUGAUGCUAGAAACGAAUUGAGUAAAGCCCGUACUGAGCUGGCUAAAGCCCUCGAAGAUUUGAAACAGGAAAAGAACAGAGUUAAGAAUCUUACCGAUGAAUUGAAAAAUGUUAAAUCACUGGAGAACAACCAAGAAGCCAGUGGUGAUAUUAAAUUAUUGAAAGCCGAAAUAGAACAACUGCAGAAUGGUGACAAAAAAUCAAGCGCCAUUCAUCUUGAAAUAAUUAAACUGCAGGAAGAAAAUGAGCGACUUAAACAUUUACAGCAGAAUCAAGAUGAUAAUAGCCAGAUUGACGCUUUAAAGAAUGAGUUGAAGAUUAAACAGGGUGAAUUUAAUCAACUUAAAGCUCAAGUCGAGGCUCUGCAACGCGACGCUAAUAAUCACUCGAGUACAGCUAAGCGAUUGCAAGAAGACUUGGAGGCCCAGCGAUUAAAGAACAACGAAUUACGCACUAAGAACUGGAAAGUGAUGGAAGCUCUUUCAGCCGCCGAGUCGCGUGUUAAAUCUGAUCCCAGGAAAUCCAGUGACGACAGCUUUGAGAUGGUGAGAACUAAAGAACAGGAAAUAACAAAAUCACUGCUCCAAAGGAUAUUCCCCGAGAUAAACGUUUCAGAAAAAUCUUUUGAUAAAUGGCUGGAGACUUUCGAGGAACGUGUACAAGUUGUUUUACAAGAUAACAAAAAUACUCUUGAGACACAAGAUAUUAAUUCUGAUUUAGAAAAACAAAAUAAAACUCUACAGGGCUUGGUUGCUCAUUACAAACAAAUUAUUAUCGAUACAGAGGGAAUGCUUAAUAAUCUUCAAAAUAAUGUAGAGUCUGAAGAAUCAAGAUGGAAAGCAGACUUACGACAAAAAGAAAACGAAGUUAUUAGUCUAAGAUUAGAAUUACAAGAAAUUAAUAAUAAAACAACACUUAACGAUAAGAUUCACGAACAAAGGGAAACGUGUCAUCACAGUGAUGGAGUUGAAUUUGCAUUUAGUUGCAUAGAAAAAUCUCUACCUAACAUCACUAAAGAGCUUCAAGAAAAAAUUUCACAGUUAGAAUCAAGAUUGAAGGGAGAGGAAGCACAGAAAGAAAAAGCCAAUUUAGUAACAGUAAAAACAACUUACACGUCACCUAUUCAAAAAGCUAAUUUUGCCAAAGUUGAACAACUACAAGAGGAAAAUCAGAGAUUAUCGCAAGAUUUAGAGACUGAACGUGCAAAGAAUGAAACUUUAGACGGUGAAUUGAGUAAAUUGCGGACGCUGGUUGAAAAAAGCGAAGCUAUUCUAAGCCAAGAGAAAAUCUCGGUCUCAAAACUAGAGGAAGAAGUCUGUCGAUUGAAGAAUGAAGCUAUCGGUGCUUGCAGUAGUGUGGAUCAGUCUUCAACAGUGAACGGGCCUCCGUCGUCCGACUGCAAUAAGCCGGAGCAGAUGAGAGCGACCCAGUCUUUGUUAGCUGCGAUAGAAAAAAACCUUUUCGGAAACCCGGAAUCUGAAAACUGUUCCAUAACCAGCUCCAAAUUGGUUGUUGAGUCACAACAAGAUAACAACCGUGACUCGUUUACCUCCGAAUUAAAUUCCGAUAAUUGUCAUACGGCUGCUUAUGACGUACAACCUAUUAACGAUCAACAACAUAAAAAACACAAGAAAAAGAGGAAGGUAAAGCUUAAAUAAAAACAACCAUGGCCAACUUAUUGAUUGGUCAAAGUAUUGCGGGAAAGUAUUACUGGCUCGAUUAAAUAUUUAUUAAAAAUAUGACAAUUGGUGCAUCUUUACUUUUGGGUGGUUCAGGAAAAAAGUAACAUCUAGAAUUAAACUGCGCUAGUGAUGACUACAAAGGAGUUGCGUAGAAUGCAAAAAAAAAAUAUUAUAAAAAUAAAUAAAUAAAUGGAUAGUUUUAUUAGCACAUAAAGUUUAACUGUAAACGUCGAUAGACAGUGACUUUGCUACUGAGAAGACUAAAAUAAUAAUAAUAAUAAUUAAU